UACAGAGGUGGCAAGCGUUGUUCGGAAUUACUGGGCGUAAAGGGCGCGUAGGCGGCCUUCUAAGUCAGACGUGAAAUCCCCCGGCUUAACCUGGGAACUGCGUCUGAUACUGGGAGGCUUGAGUAUGGGAGAGGGAUGUAGAAUUCCAGGUGUAGCGGUGAAAUGCGUAGAUAUCUGGAGGAACACCGGUGGCGAAGGCGGUUCUCUGGGCCUGUACUGACGCUGAGGAGCGAAAGCGUGGGGAGCGAACAGG
rnacentral:rRNA from 1 species